UUCUGAACAUUACAACGGAUAUAACAUAUCUAGAAAGUCAACUCACUGAUUGCGAAUUAAAUUACACAAAUUUAGCCGAAUAUCACAGAGAUCAACAAAUAUUAUUAGUCCAAUGUCAAAAGAAUAACGAAGAUAUUCAAAAAACGAUUGGGGAUAGAAAAAUCAAUCCAAAAUGAGCUAAAUGAUUGCAAAAAUUACCGUUCUGACAUCGAAAAUCAGCUAAGAGUCACUCAACUGAAUUUGACAGAUUUACAAGAAGAGCUGACAAACUUAAAUUCUUUUAAAGAAAAGAACGUAAAAAGUCUUCCAGACUCCUGUAUAGGUUGGACAGCUGGUACUCUAAAGAUACAACUUCCAAAUAAAGAAAGUAGUAAUGUUCUUGUUGAUGAUGAUGGUUGGAUGAUCAUUCAGCGUCGAAUUAAUGGAAAACAAGAUUUUGAUAAAAAUUGGCAAGAAUACGUGGAUGGAUUUGGAGACUUCAAUGGAGACUUUUGGUUUG